AACGAACGCUGGCGGCAUGCCUAACACAUGCAAGUCGAACGAUGCCUCCGGGCAUAGUGGCGGAGGGCGGGGUACCGCGGGGGAAUCUGCCCUUGGGUUCGGAAUCCCUCGCCGAAGGGCAACCUAAGACCGGUGGGUCAAGUAAGUCCAAAGAUUUAUCGCCCAAGGAUGGGCGCGCGUAGGAUUCGCUGGUUGGUGGGGUAAUGGCCCGCCAACGCGAGGUUCCUUAGCUGGUCGGAGAGGAUGAUCAGCUAGACUGGGCCUGAGACACGGCCCAGACUCGUACGCGGGGCAGCAGUGGGGAAUAUUGGAGAAGGGGCGAAAGCCUGAUCCAGCAAUGCCGGGUGAGUGAUGAAGGGCGUAGUGUUGUAAAGCUCUUUGACCCGGGAUGAUAAUGACAGUACCGGGAGGAUAAGCACCGGCUAACUACGUG
rnacentral:rRNA from 1 species